GCCAAGGUAGCUCAGUCGGUAGAGCACAGCACUGAAAAUGCUGGCGUCGGCGGUUCGAUUCCGCCCCUUGGCACCA
rnacentral:tRNA from 1 species